UACGAAGGGUGCAAGCGUUACUCGGAAUUACUGGGCGGAAAGCGUGCGUAGGUGGUGAGUUAAGUCUGAUGUGAAAUCCCCGGGCUCAACCUGGGAAUGGCAUUGGAUACUGGCUCGCUAGAGUGCGGUAGAGGGUGGUGGAAUUCCCGGUGUAGCAGUGAAAUGCGUAGAGAUCGGGAGGAACAUCUGUGGCGAAGGCGGCCACCUGGACCAGCACUGACACUGAGGCACGAAAGCGUGGGGAGCAAACAGG
rnacentral:rRNA from 1 species